rnacentral:rRNA from 1 species
AGGAUGAACGCUGGCGGUAUGCUUUACACAUGCAAGUCGAACGCAAGUUUUUAACUUGAGUGGCGGACGGGUGAGUAACACGUGAGAAUUCGCCUUUAGGCGGGGAAUAACUAUAGGAAACCAUAGCUAAUGCCCCAUAUGCUCGCAAGAGUGAAAGGAGCAAUCCACCCAAAGAGAAGCUCGCGGCUGAUUAGCUAGUUGGUAAGGUAAUGGCUUACCAAGGCGACGAUCAGUAGCUGGUUUGAGAGAACGAUCAGCCACACUGGAACUGAGACACGGUCCAGACUACCUACGGGAGG